UACGGAGGGUGCGAGCGUUGUCCGGAAUCACUGGGCGUAAAGGGCGCGUAGGUGGCCUGUGGAAGUCUGCGGUGAAAGCCCGGCGCUCAACGCCGGGUCGGCCGUGGAUACUCUCGGGCUUGAGCUUACUAGAGGCAGAUGGAAUUCCGGGUGUGCGGUGGAAUGCGUAGAGAUCCGGAAGAACACCGGUGGCGAAGGCGGUCUGCUGGGGUAAUGCUGACACUGAGGAGCGAAAGCGUGGGGAGCGAACAGG
rnacentral:rRNA from 1 species